CAUAGGUUAACGAGGCGAACCGGGGGAACUGAAACAUCUAAGUACCCCGAGGAAAAGAAAUCAACCGAGAUUCCCCCAGUAGCGGCGAGCGAACGGGGAGCAGCCCAGAGUCUGAAUCAGCUUGUGUGUUAGUGGAAGCGUCUGGAAAGUCGCACGGUACAGGGUGACAGUCCCGUACACGAAAAUGCACAGGUUGUGAACUCGAAGAGUAGGGCGGGACACGUGGUAUCCUGUCUGAAUAUGGGGGGACCAUCCUCCAAGGCUAAAUACUCCUGACUGACCGAUAGUGAACCAGUACCGUGAGGGAAAGGCGAAAAGAACCCCGGCGAGGGGAGUGAAAAAGAACCUGAAACCGUGUACGUACAAGCAGUGGGAGCACCUUCGUGGUGUGACUGCGUACCUUUUGUAUAAUGGGUCAGCGACUUAUAUUCUGUAGCAAGGUUAACCGUAUAGGGGAGCCGAAGGGAAACCGAGUCUUAACUGGGCGUUAAGUUGCAGGGUAUAGACCCGAAACCCGGUGAUCUAGCCAUGGGCAGGUUGAAGGUUGGGUAACACUAACUGGAGGACCGAACCGACUAAUGUUGAAAAAUUAGCGGAUGACUUGUGGCUGGGGGUGAAAGGCCAAUCAAACCGGGAGAUAGCUGGUUCUCCCCGAAAGCUAUUUAGGUAGCGCCUCGUGAACUCAUCUUCGGGGGUAGAGCACUGUUUCGGCUAGGGGGCCAUCCCGGCUUACCAACCCGAUGCAAACUACGAAUACCGAAGAAUGUUAUCACGGGAGACACACGGCGGGUGCUAACGUCCGUCGUGAAGAGGGAAACAACCCAGACCGCCAGCUAAGGUCCCAAAGUCAUGGUUAAGUGGGAAACGAUGUGGGAAGGCACAGACAGCCAGGAUGUUGGCUUAGAAGCAGCCAUCAUUUAAAGAAAGCGUAAUAGCUCACUGGUCGAGUCGGCCUGCGCGGAAGAUGUAACGGGGCUAAACCAUG
rnacentral:rRNA from 1 species